GACAGAGGCCUCAAGCGUUAGGCGGAAUCACUGGGCUUAAAGCGUGUGUAGGCGGAUCGUUAAGUGUCUUGUGAAAUCCCACGGCUCACCCGUGGAACUGCUGGGCAUACUGGCGAUCUUGGGCCAACUAGGGGCAACUGGAACAAGCGGUGGAGCGGUGAAAUGCGUAGGAUAUCGCUUGGAACGCCAACGGUGAAAACAGGUUGCUGGGGUUGUGCCGACG
rnacentral:rRNA from 1 species